rnacentral:misc_RNA from 1 species
UACGGAGGGUGCAAGCGUUAAUCGGAAUUACUGGGCGUAAAGCGCACGUAGGUGGCUAUGCAAGUAGGCUGUGAAAGGUUCGGGCUUAACCUGAACAUGCCAGUCUAAACUGCAUAGCUAGAGUCUAGUAGAGGGAGGUGGAAUUUCUGGUGUAGCGGUGAAAUGCGUAGAUAUCAGAAAGAACAUCGAUGGCGAAGGCAACCUCCUGGACUAGUACUGACACUGAGGUGCGAAAGCGUGGGGAGCGAACAGG